ensembl:Mt_tRNA
GGUAAAAUGGCUGAGCAAAGCAAUAGACUGUAAAUCUAAGAACAGAGGUUUGAUUCCUCUUUUUACCA